GACAGAGGGUGCAAACGUUGUUCGGAAUUACUGGGCGUAAAGCGCGUGUAGGCGGCCCUGCAAGUCGGAUGGGAAAUCCCACGGCUCAACCGUGGAAGUGCAUUCGAAACUGCAGGGCUAGAGUCCUGGAGAGGAAGGUGGAAUGCUUGGUGUAGAGGUGAAAUUCGUAGAUAUCAAGCGGAACACCGGUGGCGAAGGCGGCCUUCUGGACAGUGACUGACGCUGAGACGCGAAAGCGUGGGGAGCAAACAGG
rnacentral:rRNA from 1 species